GAACGGCAGCACAGCAGUAGCAAUACUGUGGGUGGCGAGUGGCGGACGGGUGAGUAAUGCAUCGGGACCUACCUGAACGUGGGGGAUAACGUAGGGAAACUUACGCUAAUACCGCAUACGUCCUACGGGAGAAAGCGGGGGACCUUCGGGCCUCGCGCGGUCAGACGGACCGAUGUUCGAUUAGCUAGUUGGUAGGGUAAUGGCCCACCAAGGCGACGAUCGAUAGCUGGUCUGAGAGGAUGAUCAGCCACACUGGAACUGAGACACGGUCCAGACUCCUACGGGAGGCAGCAGUGGGGAAUAUUGGACAAUGGGCGCAAGCCUGAUCCAGCAAUGCCGCGUGUGUGAAGAAGGCCUUCGGGUUGUAAAGCACUUUUAUCAGGAGCGAAAUACUACCGGUUAUAACCGGUGGGGCUGACGUACUGAGAAUA
rnacentral:rRNA from 1 species